rnacentral:misc_RNA from 1 species
UAGUGGCGACUGAAAUUGAAAGCAUCCAUUAUAUGGGUCCAUCGAUGAUGAUCAUUCAAUGUAUUAAAAGAUCUGUUAAAUAUAUUGUAAAUUACAAAGUACUAAUUUUUAUAUACAUUGUACAAUUGUCAGUGCUCUGAAAUGAACCUCAAUGAUGGCCAAGUACUGCGUUAUUUCACUUUGCAAAUUCCUAUUCUCCCUUUUAUUAACUGUUUCCUGAUUUCUGAUUUCCUAUAAUUUCCUUUUCAUGGAAAAGAAAAUCUUG